AUGCAAAUACAUCAACGUGUGGACUACCAUCCAUUGAUGCGUGGAGACCAAGUUACUGUGGCAACAUAUACGCCAAUGAUUUUAUCUACUGAUCGAUCUAUAAUUUCCUUUUUCUAUUUAUUAGAGUUGAUCUCUGUUUUCUCUUUGUCUGUUCAUGCUUGUGGCAAAAUCGCAGAUAUUCAUGUAUCGGCCUCACGCGAGCCGUUGCUGGAGCCCAAUCAUGGCGAGGAUACAUGGUGGAUGGCCCAACGAUCCUUAGGGAUGGAAGGAUCCCAUGACUACAGGAAUAGCAAUAAAUAA
rnacentral:rRNA from 1 species